CUCAAGGGUGUCUCCCCCGGUGUUGUUGGGGGGCUCUCUUUUUCCCUCCUGUUGACCCGGUAGGGUGUAAAACAGGACUUCAGUAGGUAGUAAAAAAAAAAAGGUCACCAGCUUUAUUGAAAGGUGAACAAUCACCCAUAAAUAAUAAAAUAUAUAAGGUCCUACGUGUUUCGUUCUCAGUACUGGAACUUCCUCAGGGACCAUGCAAGUUAAAAUCAAAUACAAACAGCAAUGAC